GACAGAGGGUGCAAACGUUGUUCGGAAUUACUGGGCGUAAAGCGCGUGUAGGCGGUUUGGAAAGUCGGAUGUGAAAGCCCCGGGCUCAACCCGGGAAGUGCACUCGAUACUCCCAAGCUAGAGUAUCGGAGAGGUUGGCGGAAUUCUCGGUGUAGAGGUGAAAUUCGUAGAUAUCGAGAGGAACACCGGCGGCGAAGGCGGCCAACUGGACGAAUACUGACGCUGAGACUCGAAAGCGUGGGGAGCAAACAGG
rnacentral:rRNA from 1 species